GACGAACGCUGGCGGCGUGCUUAACACAUGCAAGUCGAACGGUAAGGCCCUUCGGGGUACACGAGUGGCGAACGGGUGAGUAACACGUGGGUGAUCUGCCCUGCACUUCGGGAUAAGCCUGGGAAACUGGGUCUAAUACCGGAUAGGACCACUGCCUGCAUGGGUGGUGGUGGAAAGCUUUUGCGGUGUGGGAUGGGCCCGCGGCCUAUCAGCUUGUUGGUGGGGUGAUGGCCUACCAAGGCGACGACGGGUAGCCGGCCUGAGAGGGUGACCGGCCACACUGGGACGGCGAUACGGCCCAGACUCCUACGGGAGGCAGCAGUGGGGAAACUUGCACAAUGGGCGCAAGCCUGAUGCAGCGACGCCGCGUGAGGGAUGACGGCCUUCGGGUUGUAAACCUCUUUCAGCACCGACGAAGCGCAAGUGACGGUAGGUGCAGAAGAAGGACCGGCCAACUACGUGCCAGCCGCCGCCGUAACAC
rnacentral:rRNA from 1 species